UGCAAUCGGGGUUGGGUUUCCCAUGGAGGAUGUCGCACGCCGCCAUGGCGGCGGAGGAGCCGACCUCAUCAGCGACCUGCCGGAGGAUCUGCUCCUCCAGGUCCUCGCCCGCCGCCGCGCGCACAGGCCUCCUCUCCCGCCGGUGGCGCGGCCUCUGGACCCGCCUCCCCGACCUCGUCUUCCGCGACGUCGCGCUCGGCCCGCCCCGCUCCUACCCGCGCUCGCCUCGCUCCAAGCCGCGGCCGGCCCCGGGGUGACCCUCCUCGAUAUCCGCGUCGCAGGGCUUGAGCGGGAGGCUUCCUUGGUCUCUUCGCUGCUCCAUGCCGCCGCGGGGCUCUCGCCAGGCGGAGCUCCGCCUGGCCCUCCAACGCGACAUCCAGUUCUUCCACGUGGAGAUGCCUCGCUUCCACCGCGCCACCUCCAUCGACCUCGCCGCGCACUACCUCCACCUCUUGCUGUCACGCAUCAGCAGGUUCCCGGCGCUCCAGAGGCUGUCCCUCUCCGGCUGCCGCGUCGACCUCGCCGACCUGGUCCACCGCUGCCCGUGCCUGCGGGUGCUCAGGGUGGCCGACGCCCGACGGGUUCCUCAACAGCAAUAUCACCAUCAAAUCGGAGUCGUUGGAGGAGCUCGCUGUGGAGAGCCUGAACAAAUGGACAGAGUGUAUCUGCGUCGAGGCCCCCCAUGCUCAAGAAUUUGGCAAUGUCAUUCAGCAUCGACAGCGAGCUCACCGUGUCCAUCGCCGCGCCAAUUGUGGAGAAGGUCUCUUGGGAGUGCUCAUAUUCCUAUUCCUCGCUGACUCGUGGGCUUGGUCCAUGGAGCCUCUCAAACCUGAGCUUACAUGCCGCAGAAAGCCAUGAAGACAUGGUGCUCACCGACACCGGCCGGCUCUCCAACGCUUAUGUCCUGUCCCUGCAAAUAUGGCCUUGUGGUUUGACUAGUUAGUUAUCCUGAUGCAGAGUUCAGCUUGGAGCAGGAAAUAGAGACACAUCUGGUUACUGACUUCUCUGUUUUGGAGCUACAUUUCACGACAAUGGAGCUUGAUCAUCGUGUCAGAUCUGUGAGGCAUGUCUUUGGAGCAUUUGCGUUGCAUCUACUUGGGAUGCAUCCGAUUCGUUCUGCUACACGAAAGCUUAAGAUCAUCGUACAGAGAUCAGAGUUCAAAGAAGAAUGCCCGGUAAAUUGUCCCUGCGAUGAGCCGAAGAGCUGGAGAAGCAAAAAUAUCUCCUUGAUCAAUCUCGAAGAAGUGGAAAUGGAAGGCUUCGAAGGGGAGGACCAUGAGUUUGAUUUGCUGAAAGUGAUAAUCAGAUGCGCACCAACGCUUAAAAGAUUGGCCGUGCAGAUGUCUGAUGAGGUCAGAACAAGUAACGACCAGUGUUCGAAAAUAUACGACAUCUUCAAGGCGCAUCCUUCCGUGGAAUGCAAUGUUGAUCUUCUGCUGAAUUUAUGUGCACGCACACAUCCUUACACUGCGCAAUUCGGUUUUGCAUGUUUUGUACUUAAUGGAUCUUUGGGUUAAGCAGUAGCUGCUAAUGCCAACACAGAAACAAAGAACUGUAUAUAAAAGGAAACUGGCAGCAUUUCUGUAUUACAAAAAAUAUUCAUAAACUCCUUGCAAAGCUGUAACUGACAACAAAGAGAAUGUAAUUCUAGUUCAUUUUGAGUAAGUACUUUGCUGUUUUUCCUUAAGCUGUUUGCAAUUGAUAGGGCAUUAUCUAUACGUACGUCGACUUCAUAUUUCCAUGCUCAGAUACUGACCCAAACUGGUUUCGAAUUGCCUCAUUUGCUUGCAGGGCCAAAGCGCGACAGCCAAAGUUCUGCGCUCGCAUGAUUCUCAUCCUUGUGUUUACGGGUUUACGGUGCUCAUCGACAGGAGGGUCCUCUCCAGCGCAGAAUUUCUCUUGGCGGCGGCUUCGAUGAACAAACUGAGCCGCUGAGGUGUUAUUUGACCGAUGUCAACGGAGCUUCAGGCCAGAAGUGGUGUGCUCUUGUCUUUCCUUGGCCUUGUUGUUAAUCCUUGAAGAAAAUCAUUGAAGCCAUAUGUGUCUUAGAUCCAUUUUAACUGGCUACUAGUAUGAAAUUGCCGAAAAUCAGUCUACUCUACCUAUGUCAUUUUAAGCCCCAGUUAGUUCUCUGCUUUGAUUCACCAAAAGUUAGAUAGAGCAUCAGAGAGGAAGAAUUCUCACUUUAUCCUCUCUUUUUGUCAAGCAAGCAUGUGGCUGGUUUGGCAAGGGCUCCAGCUUUGGUGGUCACAUGAACCUAAUUAGCUCCCUGAUUAGCUCACUCCCAUCAUGAUAUCACUACUGACUAUACAUAGUCUUUAGCAGACCAGUGGCAUGUGGAGUGAAAAGUUCACUGCUGCCCUUGCCCCUGCAUGAAGGGAAAAGAAAAGGAAAAAUGAAGUGCCUGCUGCAGCAGAGCAGGCAAGGCAGCAAAGCAAAGCAGGCAUGUUGCAGAAGGUCAGUGGUCUCAUCUCUCUUCUCUUCUGGUCCAAGUCCAAGCCUGGGUCAAGAUCCAACAUGGUCCCUCCACCGACUCUUUCUUGUGUUUUUCCUCCAUCUGCCACUCUACUGUUGGCCAUCAAGGAACCAACGGCACAUGGCAGGGACAGCCAUGAUAGAUAGAUAAACCACGCUAGUAGCAUCUCUGUAACCCUAAUCACAGUUUUUGUCUACUAAUAGCAUCCCCAGAACUGAUAGGGGAUUGCCAGAAAAUA